AGUGACUGACAGAGGACAAAGCACCGCACCAACAAAAGCCCCUCUGAUCCGGCGCUUCUAUUUCGCUGCGCUGGAUGGGCGCUGCCAAGUAUCCCGCGGACGGGACAAGCGCUGCGUUCCGCCUUUCCCCCUCCCCGGCUGCAGACGCAGCCUGUCCCCCCGCCCCCCGCAAAGGACCCGGAAGGAUUUGGAAACAGCCGUGCUCCCGCAGCCCCCAGGUGCACCCUCGAAGCCCCCACCCCGUACCUCGGCCGUUUCGCAGCUGCAGGCGAUGCUAAGAACCCCCCGGGGCGCCCACCCCCAGGAGCCGCGAUGCUGCAGCAGAGCUCAGCUGAGCCCCAAACCAUUCCAUGACCGCUGCGGGGAAGCGCCGAGCUCAGCACCCAUCCUCCGGCCACCACGACGACCUGAAGCAGAGAGCAUCAAUCAGCUUUGCACCGCACACUGCUGGCCCCCAGCCCCCGCUGUGCUCAGCCCCUUCCUCACUUACCUCGCAGCAAAGCAUCCGCCAACCCACGCCGAGCGAGACACAAAGCUCACGGGACCACGGCUUAUAAAAGCACACAGGUUUAUUGCAUAUCAAUCUCAUGUAUAAAUUCAUCGUAGCAUUGGAAAGAUUACAUUUGGUAUACAUUCCUAUUCUACAGCAUUAACCUCAAAAUCAGCCUUCUCUAGUCAUUGUUUUAAAGGAAUUUCUCUACACAAGUACAUUUGUCUUUUAUCACAAGCAUCCAAAUGAAGUUUGUCAAAAUCGCCUUU